rnacentral:rRNA from 1 species
GAUGAACGCUGGCGGCGUGCCUAAUACAUGCAAGUCGAGCGAAUGGAUUAAGAGCUUGCUCUUAUGAAGUUAGCGGCGGACGGGUGAGUAACACGUGGGUAACCUGCCCAUAAGACUGGGAUAACUCCGGGAAACCGGGGCUAAUACCGGAUAACAUUUUGAACCGCAUGGUUCGAAAUUGAAAGGCGGCUUCGGCUGUCACUUAUGGAUGGACCCGCGUCGCAUUAGCUAGUUGGUGAGGUAACGGCUCACCAAGGCAACGAUGCGUAGCCGACCUGAGAGGGUGAUCGGCCACACUGGACUGAGACACGGCCCAGACUCCUACGGGAGGCAGCAGUAGGGAAUCUUCCGCAAUGGACGAAAGUCUGACGGAGCAACGCCGCGUGAGUGAUGAAGGCUUUCGGGUCGUAAAACUCUGUUGUUAGGGAAGAACAAGUGCUAGUUGAAUAAGCUGGCACCUUGACGGUACCUAGCCAGAAAGCCACGGCUAACUACGUGCCAGCCGCCGCCGUAA